rnacentral:rRNA from 1 species
AUUGAACGCUGGCGGCAUGCCUUACACAUGCAAGUCGAACGGCAGCACGGGAGCAAUCCUGGUGGCGAGUGGCGAACGGGUGAGUAAUAUAUCGGAACGUGCCCAGUCGUGGGGGAUAACGUAGCGAAAGCUACGCUAAUACCGCAUACGAUCUACGGAUGAAAGCAGGGGAUCGCAAGACCUUGCGCUGAUUGAGCGGCCGAUAUCAGAUUAGCUAGUUGGUGAGGUAAAGGCUCACCAAGGCGACGAUCUGUAGCGGGUCUGAGAGGAUGAUCCGCCACACUGGAACUGAGACACGGUCCAGACUCCUACGGGAGGCAGCAGUGGGGAAUUUUGGACAAUGGGCGCAAGCCUGAUCCAGCCAUUCCGCGUGCAGGAUGAAGGCCUUCGGGUUGUAAACUGCUUUUGUACGGAACGAAACGGUCUGCCCUAAUACGGCAGGCUAAUGACGGUACCGUAAGAAUAAGCACCGGCUAACUACGUG